GGGAAUUCUGGCAGGGGGGAGCUUUUCGGCACAGCAUCGGUAUUGGCAACGUCAAACCGAAGAGGAAAAUUAGCAAACAGUAUGAGUCCUGCUAAGUGGAACAUCUUCGGUCCUAUGAACUGUCCUCAGGCAAUCUGUCGGUUCACUCAAUAUCAGAGUUCAACGAUACAUCCACCCUCUCAGCAUACAACACCGGCUCAGAUUGCUACUGACGCUCAAGAGAUUCAUACUACUACACUGAAAAGAUGGCAGAACCUACACUCCAGACCUUACUUUCUGUCCGUGUAGCAACGGAUAUGGUGAGGAAGAUGACCCUUCCGUCCACAGUCGGUGGAUGACCUGAAGAUCAUCAUGCAAAACAAACUAAUUUGGACUAAUGACUUCACCCUUUAAGACGAAGACCCUAACUUGGAUGGACAAUUGUGCUGUCUAGUGGACAUUGAGGAGCUUCCUGAGAAAGCUGUCCUGGAGGUAAUCAGAUCAGAACGUGAUGCCAGCUCAACCGGAACUGGAAACAGAGAUACUGCCCCGCGCCAGAGAGUCUCCAGAGCACCCAGAGAAGUGGCCUGAUGGCUUUCUGGUGCCAUCUUUUUCUUAUGAUAUUGAGCACCUGCUUAGAGAGGGAAAUAUUUGCUAUGAGAACUCSAAAGACUCUUAAAUUAACAAGAGCCCAGAAGCAUGACGUUCUUGAGAACAUACUGUAGCUAAAGCAAUACACAGUUAAGGCCUAUCMAAGUGGGGGAGAAAUAGGCAAGGCUGCCUAAGUGCUUGUUACCAAGCACCCAUGUCUCAAAGAAGCAGGGAGUCAGUCUGGAUGGUAUGCAUGGAUGACUAGUCAGAAGUUCAAG